GGCACUGUAGCUCAGUUGGUAGAGCACAUGCUUAACAGGUUGCCAUCAAACGCUCUUGAUCGCAUGUUGUCGUCGGUUCGAGCCCGGCCAGAGUCA
rfam:Puccinia graminis f. sp. tritici CRL 75-36-700-3 supercont2.19 genomic scaffold, whole genome shotgun sequence.